rnacentral:rRNA from 1 species
UACGGGGGGGGCAAGCGUUGUUCGGAAUUAUUGGGCGUAAAGAGCUCGUAGGCGGUCUGUCGCGUCGGAUGUGAAAAUCCAGGGCUCAACCCUGGACCUGCAUUCGAUACGGGCAGACUAGAGUUCGGCAGGGGAGACUGGAAUUCCUGGUGUAGCGGUGAAAUGCGCAGAUAUCAGGAGGAACACCGGUGGCGAAGGCGGGUCUCUGGGCCGAUACUGACGCUGAGGAGCGAAAGCGUGGGGAGCAAACAGG